AUUUGUGAUUUGGGUUUUUUUUUGCAAUAAAGUUAAGGCUAAUACUCUUGACUGUUUUGUAAAAUUAGAGAAACUUUUGCAGUUGAAAUUUAUAGGUGUCUAGAGGGUUGAGUAUGCCGAGUGCAUACAAAAGUUUAUAUUAAUCUGACGGAAUAGAUAGAGGUUAUUUGACCAUUAGCAUAAAGAGGUAUCGAAAGUUAGUAGAUUGGGGUUGUUUAGGGUUUCUGUAAUAUCUGGAGAUCUACCAAUUGGAAUAAGGUGACUUUUGGCAUAAUAAGUCGAGGACUUCUAGGCGGCGGUCAAGAUACAUCAAUGUGGAUUUACGGCAUUUUUUUGCAAUCUGUAAAUUAGAUUGGAUUGAAACUUCUCGAGCAUUUAGAAGGUUUGCAAAGACACUAGUGAUAGAAGUUUAUAACAAUCGGAUGGUCAGAUUGAGAAUUACAGCUUGUUGAAG
rnacentral:lncRNA from 1 species